rnacentral:misc_RNA from 1 species
UGUCAGACCAAAGUGAUAUGGCUUUCAAGGAUGGUGGUUAUUUAUCAGUUGAAUAUGCUCAAGGCACUACCAGAAGCAUGUAUUUGGAAAAAGGUUUUCUUGAUUUUUUGAACCAGGAACUCCUAUCAUUCCGUUAUGAUGAAAAGGAUUUUGAAGGACUGCCUUUUGACUUUUAUGGUGGAUAUAUUGGUUAUAUUGGAUAUAAUCUUAAAGUUGAAUGUGGCAUGCUAUCUAACCGUUACAAAUCAAAGACUCCGGAUGCUUGCUUCUUCUUUGCUGAUAAUUUUAUAGUCAUCGAUCAUCAUUAUGAUGAUGUUUAUAUAAUGUCUAUACAAGAAGGAAGCACAACCGAUACACCAUGGUUGGAUGAUGUACAACAGAAGCUCCUUCAUUUGGAAGCUUCUGCUGCAAGCAAGUUAGAGAAGCAGACUUCACAACCUUCAACAUUUUUCCCAUGCACGGCUGGCUUUCUUGCUGGGAAAUCUAGAGAGCAGUGUAUUAAUGAUGUGCAGAAGAGUCUGGAAUACAUUAAAGAUGGAG